GACGAACGCUGGCGGCGUGCUUAACACAUGCAAGUCGAACGGAAAGGCCCUGCUUUUGUGGGGUGCUCGAGUGGCGAACGGGUGAGUAACACGUGAGUAACCUGCCCUUGACUUUGGGAUAACUUCAGGAAACUGGGGCUAAUACCGGAUAGGAGCUCCUGCUGCAUGGUGGGGGUUGGAAAGUUUCGGCGGUUGGGGAUGGACUCGCGGCUUAUCAGCUUGUUGGUGGGGUAGUGGCUUACCAAGGCUUUGACGGGUAGCCGGCCUGAGAGGGUGAACGGCCACAUUGGGCCUGAGAUACGGCCCAGACUCCUACGGGAGGCAGCAGUGGGGAAUAUUGCACAAUGGGCGGAAGCCUGAUGCAGCAACGCCGCGUGCGGGAUGACGGCCUUCGGGUUGUAAACCGCUUUCGCCUGUGACGAAGCGUGAGUGACGGUAAUGGGUAAAGAAGCACCGGCUAACUACGUG
rnacentral:rRNA from 1 species